GUACUUAGGUCCAUUGAUCUGCAGUGAUGUAUUUUUCCCAUGUUGUCCCACAGCCUCAAGCGAAGACGACAGCGUGGAGUGGACACCCACAGAGAAAAACACAGACACUUUGUCAAUGUUCAAGAAGAAGUCGACAGCGGAGCAGCUGCAGUCAGUGUGGAACGUGGUAGAGAGAGGUCUGGAGGGAGUGAUCAGAGGCUGGACCAGACUACUGCCCUGUGAUGGAUCAGCCAUCUCUGACAUGGUCUUCAUGCAGAAGUUUGCUGGGCCGGCCAUGCAUUCCCCUGCAGGAGGAGGAGAGGGAGAGAGGGUGAAGAGUCCCUCCCCGUCUCGCUCUCUGCUCCCCAUGGACCUGCAUCUGGAACUGCUGUCUGUCCAGCACAGAGUCUCCCUCAAGCUGCUCAACACCUGCCCAGCUGAGCUGCAGCAGCAUGCUGGUGACAGUAGGAGAUCUAUGAGGCCCCCUGGUGGUGUGGAGAUACCUGAGACCAUGGCUAACAGAGCCAGAGGAGGUGAGACUGAGAGCACUCACACAUGGCCCUGCACUCCAUACUUUACAUGGCUGCAUGAGGUU
rnacentral:lncRNA from 1 species